rnacentral:lncRNA from 1 species
CACCUUUAUAGGACACUUACCAUGACUGGAGUUUGCAGGACUGGAAAUUGCUCUGUGUGAGUCAGCGACUUGACCUCUUGAGCUCCUUCUAUACAUGUGAGAAGAUCACGGCUCAGGUAGCCAGUGAGCCUUCAGCCUGGACUCUGGAGUGGAGGCAGAGGGAGCAAAUUUGAACUUUACCUGCAGCCUGGAGCUGAGACUGGCUGAGCCACCAUACCCAUGAAUGAGAAGCAUCCUUGAAGAUGGGUCAUGUCCGUUCCACUUGGCAUCAGAGGCUCAAAAGCUGAGAGCUGGACUCCUCAGAGACUCACUCACCCACGCAUCUGGUACUUGAAGCUGUGCUACCAGCUGGGGUUACCACCGGAAGACUCACGUCUCCUUUCUCUUGUGGAAUAAGAUGAAAUCAAAAAGACCCCUGAGAACAGGGUGGAUUCUGUGUGGCUAAUUGGGACCUCAAGACAGAAUGGUGCAAGAGGACAUGACUGACCAGGUACAGUCGUGUACUCUGUCUGCGAAAAACCACCGAACGCGCUCAAGCUGUGACACGGGUAAAGUUUCUGAUCUUACAAAAGCACGUGCCAGCCACCCGGACGAAACCAGUAAAACCGUGAUUCACGCCAGUCAAUCAGGACCAAGCAGGCUUGAAACCCUCAUUUGUACAAGCGGACUGCUCCUGUAGUCAGACUGGUGGCUGGAAAUACUGGAUUUACAAUAGUUUGUGAUGAAUUCAAAGUGAAGUAUCCACAAGAGCGCGAGGCCUGAUGAUCGUCUUCACUGGGAGCUCACAUGGACACCCCUGGGAAGCGGCCACCUCUAGUCUCCAUGAAGCUGACUCACAUCUGUCCUUUAAAUUCUCCAGGGGCCCAAAACCCUCCAGUCCUC